GCAAAGUGGGUGCCAGCGGCCGGGGUAAUACAGGGGGGGCAAGCGUUGUUCGGAAGGACUGGGCGUAAAGGGCGCGGAGGCGGGCUGGUAAGGCGAACGUGAAAUCCCUGGGCCCAACCCAGGAACUGCGUCCGAGACUGGUUGGCUUGAAGCCGGGAGAGGGACGUGGAAUUCCAGGUGUAGCGGUGAAAUGCGUAGAUAUCUGGAGGAACACCGGUGGCGAAGGCGACGUCCUGGACCGGCAUUGACGCUGAGGCGCGAAAGCCAGGGGAGCAAACGGGAUUAGAUACCCCAGUAGUC
rnacentral:rRNA from 1 species